UGGAUAUCGAACUAGAAAGGAAAUAGUGUGAUUCAGAUUUUUGUUUGUCUGUGUUGUUUUUUCUUCGAUUUUCCUUAUCGCUUCUCUGAUGCGCAACAAUACGAUCAGGGAGACUGUGGGUAAGAGAACUGCUUUUUCUCUCCAUUACCAUGCUAAUCUCGCCUGAUCUCUUCACAAUUUUCGCUCACAUCUAGGAUGCAAAAGCUUGAGAAGGAGGUCGGUGUUGAGAUUCCUGUAAGCCUUGGAAUGUGUUUGAGGAGAAAAAUAAAGAGGAACACCUCAAAUGUCUGUGGUGAGCUGACACUUAUAUUUUUGUUUUGUCAUCUCUUACUCCCUAUCAUAACCAUGUGCAUAAUAUUAUUACUGGGAUAAGUUAUCCUUAUAAGUUAUCCUUUUCCAAUAUAAGAUAAUGAGUU